AGCUGCAGUCGAGAUCUUUCGCAAUGGGCGCAAGCCUGACGAAGCGACGCCGUGUGAGCGAUGAAGGCCUUCGGGUUGUAAAGCUCUUUCGCUWRGGAACAAGAGAGAUARAAUGAAUACUCAGKUAGAUUUGAUGGUACUUGGUAAGAAGCACCGGCUAACUCC
rnacentral:rRNA from 1 species